AGAGGAUAGCUCAAGUGGUAGAGCCUGUGCUUAGCAAGCAUGAGGUCUUGGGUUCAAUUCCCAGCACCUCUU
rnacentral:tRNA from 1 species